UGGACUAAUAAUGCAGUCGAGCGGACCGACGGGAGCUUGCUCCCUUAGGUCAGCGGCGGACGGGUGAGUAACACGUGGGUAACCUGCCUGUAAGACUGGGAUAACUCCGGGAAACCGGGGCUAAUACCGGAUGCUUGAUUGAACCGCAUGGUUCAAUCAUAAAAGGUGGCUUUUAGCUACCACUUGCAGAUGGACCCGCGGCGCAUUAGCUAGUUGGUGAGGUAACGGCUCACCAAGGCGACGAUGCGUAGCCGACCUGAGAGGGUGAUCGGCCACACUGGGACUGAGACACGGCCCAGACUCCUACGGGAGGCAGCAGUAGGGAAUCUUCCGCAAUGGACGAAAGUCUGACGGAGCAACGCCGCGUGAGUGAUGAAGGUUUUCGGAUCGUAAAACUCUGUUGUUAGGGAAGAACAAGURCCGUUCGAAUAGGGCGGYACCUUGACGGUACCUAACCAGAAAGCCACGGCUAACUACGUGCCAGCAGCCGCGGUAAUACGUAGGUGGCAAGCGUUGUCCGGAAUUAUUGGGCGUAAAGCGCGCGCAGGCGGUUUCUUAAGUCUGAUGUGAAAGCCCCCGGCUCAACCGGGGAGGGUCAUUGGAAACUGGGGAACUUGAGUGCAGAAGAGGAGAGUGGAAUUCCACGUGUAGCGGUGAAAUGCGUAGAGAUGUGGAGGAACACCAGUGGCGAAGGCGACUCUCUGGUCUGUAACUGACGCUGAGGCGCGAAAGCGUGGGGAGCGAACAGGAUUAGAUACCCUGGUAGUCCACGCCGUAAACGAUGAGUGCUAAGUGUUAGAGGGUUUCCGCCCUUUAGUGCUGCAGCAAACGCAUUAAGCACUCCGCCUGGGGAGUACGGUCGCAAGACUGAAACUCAAAGGAAUUGACGGGGGCCCGCACAAGCGGUGGAGCAUGUGGUUUAAUUCGAAGCAACGCGAAGAACCUUACCAGGUCUUGACAUCCUCUGACAACCCUAGAGAUAGGGCUUCCCCUUCGGGGGCAGAGUGACAGUGGUGCAUGUGUCGUCAGCUCGUGUCGUGAGAUGUGGGUAGUCCCGCA
rnacentral:rRNA from 1 species